rnacentral:tRNA from 1 species
GGUCGCUUAGCUCAGUUGGUUAGAGCGUGGUGCUAAUAGCUUAAUCCUUGAUACGCCAAGGUCGCGAGUUCGACCCUCGUAGUGACCA